UUCUACUGCGUGCUCCAUUCAAAUUAAAAUUUGCAGUUGAAUUUGUCGUGUUACAACAAAUUAUAAAUUACAAUUAAGCACAGUCACGUCACUCACUAAUUAACGGUAGUAGUGGGAUAUUGGAGGACAAAAUAACUAAAGUAGGAUUUUUCUUAGUUUGCGCGCACGUCAUCCAUUCUGUUUUUGGGGAGCAUUGUAAUGCCAACGUUACCUGUUAAUCAAAAUUGUGGUAGUUUACGUUUACAUUACGACACGUCACAUUUUACAACUGUUUGCUUCCAUUGUCAUUCCCUAUUUUAUCGCGUUUUGCUACAUUAAACGAUAAAAAAUCCGUUAGUUUCAUAACGAACAAUAACUAUACAUCUCACUGGGAUAUUCUGCACCCAACAUUGCAUAACCCAAAUAUGCCAUCAGAUUUACCAAGAAAAAAUACAAACCUUCAAAACGGUAUGCUGCUGAUGAGAUUGCAUUAGAAAAUGGACACGCGGUACUACGGUUGUCUCCCUACCAUUGCCUUUUCAAUCCCAUCGAAAAUAUAUGGGGAAUUUUGUGAAGAUUGUUUAGGUAUGUGACAACAAACUAAUGCAGUUACACCUGAUAUCUGGAAACGCAGUGUAGAACAUACCAACAACAUUAUUUUAGAUUCGAUGCACGGAGAAGUAAAGUUUGGCCGAGAAGACCUAGUCCCAUUAAUAAUUAAUUUGGAAGAUGAUUCGCAUGUUUUUUUGCGUUUUCCAGAUAGUAACCUCAAGAUUUGAAGUCAACAAAAUGGCUGGUGAACGGCGCCUGCGAUGUUUUGAAAUUCGUGGAGAGAUCCGAAAGCAACGCGUCUUCACUUUGGUAAAAAAGCUGUGGUUCGAUUUUUACCAGGAUGAAAACAGGAAGAUCGACGAACAAGUUAGGCGAAAGUUUAUCGCCCUUGCAACGUUCAACAACCAGCUGGAAGGAUACACGUUGAUGUUUUUGGAAAAAAGAUGACGUUCUUAGAAUCUUGAAAUUCGUGACCUGAUUUUUAUUCAUGCACAAUUGUGGGUUUUCUUUUGAUUUUGUUGUCUUUGUUAAUUUAGUUCGAGUAUUUGUGUGGACUAUGUCAGGGUUUUUGUCCCGAAGAGGGUUUCCCUGGUAUCGUCUGGUUGUGUGCGUAAUAUAUCAAUCUUCUCGUCUUUUCUUACGCACAAAUUAUAAAUUUUUUAUCAUUUCAAAAAACAAUUGAAAUGAUUUUUUUAAAUUUCUCCUUUACGUCCAAAUAAUAAUCGUGACGCAGACAACCUGUUACAAAUAACUACAAAAAUUUUUUUUAGUAAUUGGUCAAUACAAGUCGUUGAUGUAAUGGGUAUCCUACCCAUAAUGCAGCACUUGUAUGGCCGCCUACAUACGUAUUCUCUUCCAUUGAUUGCAUGAAGCUAUGUAAACAUACUUAGUGAUGACGUCACAAUAAGCGCAAAUUAUGACAUAUAAUACAGGAUUGAUCGAUAACGGAUUUUUUCGCCGGGUGUAGUGACGUCACUUUCGGACCCAUACCGCGCCGCAUGCUUUGAUUGGUGUUCCAUGGAUUUGCCCACCGCUGCGCUUAAUUCCAAUACGUAAAAUACGUUCAAAUGGAUAUUGUAGUUUUCAAACUGUCGUGAACCCAUUUCUUCCGGCUUCAAUUCAAGUUUCUGACAGUCAGGUCCGUCGGCGACCGACGUCAGAUUAGGGUGGGGAUCUGACUUAACGCGGGCAACAUUACGAGUAUAGGGGUCAGACAAUCCGUGGGAAAAUUCUGCUUUAUCAAAUUUGACAAUCGCGAGUUCCCUAUUGUCAUCAGGAUAAUGACUAUGACUGACAGUGGAAAAUUCUAAAUUACACAAUGCGGAUUAAAAGAAAGGCGAAGCAUUUGGUACUACAAUAACGAGCAGAUAGAAAAGUUCAAAACAUAAUCAACCACCUCAUUACAUCAUGGAAUUAACUGAAAAGGAACUGAUUGUAUUUAUAGUAUUCUAUGUUUUUUACUUAUGCCUUUUAUAUUAUGGGUUCACUCGCAAUAUUUUGGAAAUCGACCCUAGACAUGCAGUUUAGAAAAAAAUAAAAAUUACUAGCAAAAUAUUGUGCGUUUGUAAUUGUAUUUUAGUGAGAAACGUAAUGGCUGUACCCACCUACUAAAAAUCAGAGAGUCCACCAUAACCGCCAGGAGGUAGUAUUCGUAAACUAGGCUUGCAGAAUUUCCUCCCUGCAGGCACGAUGUAAAAAUAGAACGCUCUAGCAGUAGUAUCUAGUUACGGAAAUUUAUUUCCAUCUGUUCCACUGACAGACGUCAAUCAAGACCUUAAAAUUCGAAGUACAAAAUCAAACCAUACAUAAUGUAAAAAAUAAAGGAAGACAACCAUUGAAGGCAGAUGCUCGUUAAACAUAACCUGACCCUAUUCUUCUGGAUGUUAAGACAAUUGAAUCGUCUUGAAUUGGAUACAUCAAAUAGCAUAACGUUGUUGGGCUGUGUAGUUAUCUAUUACGGUUUGAUUAAUGAGGUUCUCGUUCAAGUAAUGAUGGAUAGCAAUGUAAUGUUAUAAUGAACGCAAU